CCUACGGGAGGCAGCAGUCGGGAAUUUUGGGCAAUGGGCGAAAGCCUGACCCAGCAACGCCGCGUGAAGGAUGAAGUCUUUCGGGAUGUAAACUUCGGAAAUAUGGGAAGAAUAAAUGACGGUACCAUAUCUAAGGUCCGGCUAACUACGUGCCAGCAGCCGCGGUAAU
rnacentral:rRNA from 1 species